rnacentral:rRNA from 1 species
CCCUUAGAUGUUCGGGGCUGCACAUGCGCUACACUGAAUGAAUCAACGUGUAUUUGCCCUUGCCCGAAAGGGUUGGGUAACCCGUUGAACCUCCUUCGUGCUAGGGAUUGGGGCUUGUAAUUAUUCCCCAUGAACGAGGAAUUCCCAGUAAGCGCGAGUCAUAAGCUCGCGUUGAUUACGUCCCUGCCCUUUGUACACACCGCCCGUCGCUACUACCGAUUGAAUGGUUUAGUGAGAUCCUCGGAUUGGUCCCGCCACGGGAGGAAACUUUCGAGGCGGAGUGCCGAGAAGACGAUCAAACUUGAUCAUUUAGAGGAAGUAAAAGUCGUAACA